GGGCGCAAGCCUGAUCCAGCAAUACCGCGUGUGUGAAGAAGGCCCUAGGGUUGUAAAGCACUUUCAAUAGGGAGGAAAACCUGCCGGUCAAUACCCGGUAGCUUGACAUUACCUAUAGAAGAAGCACCGGCUAACUCCGUGCCAGCAGCCGCGGUAAUACGGAGGGUGCAAGCGUUAAUCGGAAUUACUGGGCGUAAAGCGUGCGUAGGCGGUUCGUUAAGUCAGAUGUGAAAGCCCUGGGCUCAACCUGGGAACUGCAUUUGAAACUGGCGGACUAGAGUUGAGUAGAGGGGAGUGGAAUUUCAGGUGUAGCGGUGAAAUGCGUAGAUAUCUGAAGGAACACCAGUGGCGAAGGCGACUCCCUGGACUCAAACUGACGCUGAGGUACGAAAGCGUGGGUAGCAAACAGGAUUAGAUACCCUGGUAGUCCACGCCGUAAACGAUGUCAACUAGCCGUUGGUCCUAUUUACAGGAUUAGUGGCGCAGCUAACGCAUUAAGUUGACCGCCUGGGGAGUA
rnacentral:rRNA from 1 species